rnacentral:rRNA from 1 species
CCUACGGGCGGCUACAGUGGGGAAUAUUGGACAAUGGGGGCAACCCUGAUCCAGCCAUGCCGCGUGUGUGAAGAAGGCCCUCGGGUUGUAAAGCACUUUCAGUGAGGAAGAACGCCUGGUGGUUAAUACCCAUCAGGAAAGACAUCACUCACAGAAGAAGCACCGGCUAACUCCGUGCCAGCAGCCGCGGUAAUACGGAGGGUGCGAGCGUUAAUCGGAAUUACUGGGCGUAAAGCGCGCGUAGGUGGCUUGAUAAGCCGGUUGUGAAAGCCCCGGGCUCAACCUGGGAACGGCAUCCGGAACUGUCAAGCUAGAGUGCAGGAGAGGAAGGUAGAAUUCCCGGUGUAGCGGUGAAAUGCGUAGAGAUCGGGAGGAAUACCAGUGGCGAAGGCGGCCUUCUGGACUGACACUGACACUGAGGUGCGAAAGCGUGGGUAGCAAACAGGAUUAGAUACCCGAGUAGUC